UAUAUACUGCUGCACCUGUGUAUAAUGCCCACAUGAACCCCUUGGCCCAUUUAUUGUGUGUUAUUAAAUCUGGCUGUGGAACUAGCCAAUGUGUAUCCUGAGCCAUUUACCUCACCGCACGUCCCUGGUAUGUAUGUAUGUAUGUAUGUAUGUAUGUAUGUAUGUAUGUUCUUCAUCAUAGACUCCUACAUGGCUUUAUGGUUCUGAACCAAACUUGGUACACAAACCCUUCAUAAUCCAAUUUAAAAUUCUAGUUUCAAGUAAAAAAAAAUCCACCCAUUGCGUGGCCAGGGCCCAUAUCACAAAAAUGCAUAUAGAAAAUGCAUUGGUCGGUUUGUGUGUCUGUGUGGUUAGCUAGUCCUGACCAGUCUGGUGGAGUCUGUGAAGUCAUGCUGUGAUGUCAUAAUGGUAACAACUGCCUACAUCAGGACUUUGUUGCAGCUGCUGCUGCCCUUUCUCAAACUCCUCCAGAGCCCUAGAAACACACAGCUCACAAGCAGGCGAUAUCACCGGAAAAGCUACUCACAUAAGAUAAAAGUAUUAAAGACGACAGAAGAAGAUAGAGGAAAGCGACAGAAGAAGAUAACGACAGAAGAAGACAAUGAUGACAGAACAAGAAAGAAGAAGCAAGAAAAAGAGAGACGAAAAAUGAAAGAAAGAAAGAAAAAAGAAAGAAAGAAAGAAAGAAAGAAAAAAAGAUAGAAAAAAGAAAGAAAGACAGUAUUAAAGACGACAGAAGAUAGAAGAAACCGUCAGAAGACAACAGAAGAAAACAACCGAUGACAGACAGAACAAGAAAGAAGAAGCAAGAUAGAGACAAAAAAAAAGAAGCAGAAAAAAGCAUGAAGAAAAAGAAAGAAAAAUGAAAGAAGAAAGAAAAAUGAAAGAAGCAGAAAGAUAAAGGUAAGAAGAAAGAAAAUAAUGUUUCUAUGCCUAUGUAUGGUAUUGCAGAACCCUUAUAUUGUCUUAUAGAUAAAAGUAUUAAAGACGACAGAAGAAGAUAGAGGAAAGCAACAGAAGAAGACAACGACAGAAGAAGACAAUGAUGACAGAACAAGAAAGAAGAAGCAAGAAAAAGAGAGACGAAAAAUGAAAGAAAGAAAGAAAGAAAAAAAAGAAAGAAAAAAGAAAGAAAGACAGUAUUAAAGAUGACAGAAGAUAGAAGAAACCGUCAGAAGACAACAGAAGAAAACAACCAAUGACAGACAGAACAAGAAAGAAGAAGCAAGAUAGAGACAAAAAAAAAAAGCAGAAAAAAGCAUGAAGAAAAAGAAAGAAAAAUGAAAGAAGCAGAAAGAUAAAGGUAAGAAGAAAGAAAAUAAUGUUUCUAUGCCUAUAUAUGAUAUUGCAGAACCCUUAUGUUGUCUUAUAGAUAAAAGUAUUAAAGACGAUAGAAGAAGAUAGAGGAAAGCGACAGAAGAAGACAACGACAGAAGACAACGAUGACAGACAGAACAAGAAAGAAGAAGCAAGAAAAAGAGACACAAAAAAAGAAAGAAAGAAAGAAAGAAAGAAAAGAAAAAAGCAGAAAAAAUCAUGAAGAAAAAGAAAGAAAAAUUAAAGAAGAAAAAUGAAAGAAGAAAGAAAGAAAAAAGAAAGAAGCAGAAAGAUAAAGGUAAGAAUAGAGAAAAUAAUGUUUCUAUGCCUAUGUAUGGUAUUGCAGAACCCUUAUGUUGCCUUAUUGAUAAAAGUAUUAAAGACGAAAGAAGAAGAUAGAAGAAAGCAACAGAAGACAACGACAGAAGACAACGAUGACAGACAGAACAAGAAAGAAGAAGCAAGAAAAAGAGAGACAAAAAAGAAAGAAACAGAAAAAAGCAUGAAGAAAAAGAAAGAAAAAUGAAAGAAAGAAAAUGAAAGAAGAAAAAAGAAAGAUGCAGAAAGAUAAAGGUAAGAAGAGAGAAAAUAAUGUUUCUAUGCCUAUGUAUGGUAUUGCAGAACCCUUAUGUUGUUUUAUUUAUAACAGUAUUAAAGAUGACAGAAGAAGAUAGAAUUAAGUGACAGAAUAAGACAACGAUGACAGACAGAACAAGAAAGAAGCAAGAAAAAGAGAGACAAAAAAGACAGAAAUAAAAGAAGCAGAAAAAAAGCAUAAAGAAAAAGAAAGAAAAAUGAAAGAAGAAAGAAAAAUGAAAGAAAGAAAAAAAGAAAGAAGCAGAAAGCUAAAGGUAAGAAGAAAGAAAAUAAUGUUUCUAUGGCUAUGUAUGGUAUUGCAGAACCCUUAUGUUGUCUUAUAGAUAAAAGUAUUAAAGACGACAGAAGAAGAUAGAAGAAAGCGACAGAAGAAGACAAUGACAGAAGACAAUGAUGACAGACAGAACAAGAAAGAAGAAGCAAGAAAAAGAGAGACAAAAAAAGAAAAAUUGAAAGAAAGAAAGAAAAGAAAGAAGCAGAAAAAAAGUAUGAAGCAAAAGAAAGAAAAAUGAAAGAAAGAAAGAAAGAAAAAAGAAAGAAGUAGAAAGAUAAAGUUAAGAAGAAAGAAAAUAAUGUUUCUAUGCCUAUGUAUGGUAUUGCAGAACCCUUAUAUUUUCUUAUAGAUAAAAGUAUUAAAGACGACAGAAGAUAGAGGAAAGCGACAGAAGAAGACAACGACAGAAGAAGACAACGAUGACAGAACAAGAAAGAAGAAGCAAGAAAAAGAGAGACAAAAAAAGAAAGAAAAAUGAAAGAAAGAAAGAAAAAAAAAUAAAAGAAAGUAUUCAAGACGACAGAAGAUAGAAGAAAGCGUCAGAAGACAAUGACAGAAGAAAACAACCGAUGACAGACAGAACAAGAAAUAAUAAGCAAGAUAAAGAGAGACAAAAAAAGAAAGAAGCAGAAAAAAGCAUGAAGAAAAAGAAAGAAAAAUGAAAGAAGAAAGAAAGAAAAAUGAAAGAAGCGGAAAGAUAAAGGUAAGAAGAAAGAAAAUAAUGUUUCUAUGCCUAUGUAUGGUAUUGCAGAAACCUUACGUUGUCUUAUAAAUAAAAGUAUUAAAGACGACAGAAGAAGAUAGAGGAAAGUGACAGAAGAAGACAACGACAGAAGACAACGAUGACAGACAGAACAAGAAAGAAGAAGCAAGAUAAAGAGAGACAAAAAAGAAAGAAAGAAAGAAAGAAAGAAAAGAAAAAAGCAGAAAAAAAGCAUGAAGAAAAAGAAAGAAAAAUGAAAGAAAAAUGAAAGAAGAAAGAAAAAAGAAAGAAGCAGAAAGAUAAAGGUAAGAAGAAAGAAAAGAAUGUUUCUAUGCCUAUGUAUGGUAUUGCAGAACCCUUAUAUUGUCUUUUUGAUAAAAGUAUUAAAGACGAAAGAAGAAAAUAGAAGAAGGCAACAGAAGAAGACAACGACAGAAGACAACGAUGACAGACAGAACAAGAAAGAAGAAGCAAGAAAAGAGAGACAAAAAAAAGCAGAAAAAAAGCAUGAAGAAAAAGAAAGAAAAAUGAAAGAAAGAAAAUGAAAGAAGAAAUAAGCAGAAAGAUAAAGGUAAGAAGAGAGAAAAUAAUGUUUCUAUGCCUAUGUAUGGUAUUGCAGAACCUUUAUGUUGUUUUAUUUAUAAAAGUAUUAAAGAUGACAGAAGAAGAUAGAAUUAAGUGACAGAAGAAGACAACGACAGAAGAAGACAACGAUGACAGACAGAACAAGAAAGAAGAAGCAAGAAAAAGAGAGACAAAAAAAGACAGAAAGAAAAGAAGCAGAAAAAAGCAUAAAGAAAAAGAAAGAAAAAUGAAAGAGGAAAGAAAAAUGAAAGAAAGAAAAAAAGAAAGAAGCAGAAAGCUAAAGGUAAGAAGAAAGAAAAUAAUGUUUCUAUGGCUAUGUAUGGUAUUGCAGAACCCUUAUGUUGUCUUAUAGAUAAAAGUAUUAAAGACGACAGAAGAUAGAAGAAAGCGACAGAAGAAGACAAUGACAGAAGACAAUGAUGACAGACAGAACAAGAAAGAAGAAGCAAGAAAAAGAGAGACAAAAAAAGAAAAAAAGAAAGAAAGAAAGAAAAGAAAGAAGCAGAAAAAAAGUAUGAAGCAAAAGAAAGAAAAAUGAAAGAAAUUGAAAGAAAAUGAAAGAAAAAAGAAAGAACAAAGAAGCAGAAAGAUAAAGUUAAGAAGAAAGAAAAUAAUGUUUCUAUGCCUAUGUAUGGUAUUGCAGAACCCUUAUAUUUUCUUAUAGAUAAAAGUAUUAAAGACGACAGAAGAAGAAAGAAAGAAAAAAAAAUAAAAGAAAGUAUUAAAGACGACAGAAGAUAGAAGAAAGCGUCAGAAGACAACGACAGAAGAGAACAACCGAUGACAGACAGAACAAGAAAGAAUAAGCAAGAUAAAGAGAGACAAAAAAAGAAAGAAGCAGAAAAAAGCAUGAAGAAAAGAAAAAUUAAAGAAAGAAAAAUGAAAGAAGCAGAAAGAUAAAGGUAAGAAGAAAGAAAAUAAUGUUUCUAUGCCUAUGUAUGGUAUUGCAGAAACCUUAUGUUGUCUUAUAAAUAAAAGUAUUAAAGACGACAGAAGAAGAUAGAGGAAAGUGACAGAAGAAGACAACGACAGAAGACAACGAUGACAGACAGAACAAGAAAGAAGAAGCAAGAAAAAGAGAGACAAAAAAGAAAGAAAGAAAAGAAAAAAGCAGAAAAAAAGCAUUAAGAAAAAGAAAGAAAAAUGAAAGAAAAAUUAAAGAAGAAAGAAAGAAAAAAGAAAGAAGCAGAAAGAUAAAGGUAAGAAGAAAGAAAAUAAUGUUUCUAUGCCUAUGUAUGGUAUUGCAGAACCCUAAUGUUGUCUUUUUGAUAAAAUUAUUAAAGACGAAAGAAGAAAAUAGAAGAAAGCAACAGAAGAAGACAACGACAGAAGACAACGAUGACAGACAGAACAAGAAAGAAGAAGCAAGAAAAGAGAGACAAAAAAAGCAGAAAAAAAGCAUGAAGAAAAAGAAAGAAAAAUGAAAGAAAGAAAAUGAAAGAAGAAAUAAGCAGAAAGAUAAAGUAUUAAAGAUGACAGAAGAAGAUAGAAUUAAGUGACAGAAGAAGACGACAGAAGAAGACAACUAUGACAGACAGAACAAGAAAGAAGAAGCAAGAAAAAGAGAGACAAAAAAGACAGAAAGAAAAGAAGCAGAAAAAAAGCAUGAAGAAAAAGACAGAAUAAUGAAAGAAGAAAAAAAGAAAAAUGAAAGAAAGAAAAAAAGAAAGAAGCAGAAAGCUAAAGGUAAGAAGAUAGAAAAUAAUGCUUCUAUGGCUAUGUAUGGUAUUGCAGAACCCUUAUGUUGUCUUAUAGAUAAAAGUAUUAAAGACGACAGAAGAAGAUAGAAGAAAGCGACAGACGAAGACAACGACAGAAGACAAUGAUGACAGACAGACAGACAGAACAAGAAAGAAGCAAGAAAAAGAGAGACAAAAAAAGAAAAAUAGAAAGAAAGAAAGAAAGAAAGAAAGAAAGAAAGAAAGAAAGAAAGAAAGAAAGGAAAGAAGCAGAAAAAAAGCAUGAAGCAAAAGAAAGAAAAUGAAAGAAGAAAGAAAGAAAAAUGAAAGAAGCAGAAAGAUAAAGUUAAGAAGAAAAUAAUGUUUCUAUGCCUAUGUAUGGUAUUGCAGAACCCUUAUAUUGUCUUAUAGAAUUUUUUUUUACAGAAGACUCUUGUGUGGGUGCACUCUUGUAU